rnacentral:rRNA from 1 species
CCUACGGGUGGCUGCAGUCGAGAAUUUUUCUCAAUGGGGGCAACCCUGAAGGAGCGACGCCGCGUGGAGGAUGAAGGUCUUCGGAUUGUAAACUCCUGUCAUUGGCGAACAAGGCUCGUCCGUUAACUGCGGAUGGGUUUGAUAGUAGCCGAAGAGGAAGAGACGGCUAACUCUGUGCCAGCAGCCGCGGUAAUACAGAGGUCUCAAGCGUUGUUCGGAUUCAUUGGGCGUAAAGGGUGCGUAGGCGGCUGGGCAAGUCUGCUGUGAAAUCCCGG